UUGCCUUCUCUUCUCCCCAAAGUUUCAGUGGCAUAGUAUGCCACUGUUGAAACAGCCGUUAAAGAAGCAUCAUUGUCAUGCUAAUUGCAGCAUAAGUACAUGUUAGCACAAUACUCACGAAUGUUUGUGGCUCUCGGUUGCUGCACUGUUGGCGUUACUGGAGACAAGAUUGCAAUGUAGCCUUUGUUUAACGUAUGCUUACAGUUGGUUCCCCCAGAGCAGAGCCUGCAGGCUCGUGAGCUCUCUGGGGACUUCCGCCGCCCUCAGCCGUUGCCUGCACCGCCAAGGGUCUCGGUCGGGGACAGGCCGGGCACCAGCGGCUUGCAGGCCUUCGUGAGCUCUGCUCCGGCUGCCGCUGGUGUGGCCGAGGAGGAUGCGGCCCCAGCGUUACCCCAGCGCCAACCGCGGAGGCGCCAGCCAUCAGCCGUCCGCGCUGUGCUACCA
rnacentral:lncRNA from 1 species